rnacentral:rRNA from 5 species
UGGGGAAUUUUGCACAAUGGGGGAAACCCUGAUGCAGCGACGCCGCGUGAUUUAGAAGGCCUUCGGGUUGUAAAAAUCUUUUCUAUGGGAAGAAAAUGACAGUACCAUAGGAAUAAGGACCGGCUAAUUACGUGCCAGCAGCCGCGGUAAUACGUAAGGUCCGAGCGUUGUCCGGAAUCAUUGGGCGUAAAGGGUACGUAGGCGGGUAAGCAAGUUAGAAGUGAAAUCCUAUAGCUCAACUAUAGUAAGCUUUUAAAACUGCUCAUCUUGAGGUAUGGAAGGGAAAGUGGAAUUCCUAGUGUAGCGGUGAAAUGCGCAGAUAUUAGGAGGAAUACCGGUGGCGAAGGCGACUUUCUGGCCAUAACCUGACGCUGAGGUACGAAAGCGUGGGUAGCAAACAGG